rnacentral:tRNA from 2 species
GGGCCAUUAGCUUAGUUGGUAGAGCAUCUGACUCUUAAUCAGAGGGUCGAAGGUUCGAGUCCUUCAUGGCCCACCA